UAUUAUAAAUACAAGUCUGUUUUGUCCAAGCAGGAUCCGAAGUAUCCGCUUUAUUAGGCAGAAUGCCUUCUGCUGUGGGUUAUCAACCUACUCUUAGUACAAAAAUGGGUUCUUUGCAAGAAAGAAUUACUUCUACCGAAGAAGGAUCCAUAAGUUCUGUUCAAGCAGUUUAUGUACUUGCAGAGGAAG